UUACUACUCCCUCCGUCCGGAAAAGCUUGUCCCUCAUAUGGAUGUAUCUAGCACUAACUUGGUGCUAGAUACAUCCAUUUGAGAGACAAGCUUUUUCGGAAGGAGGGAGUAGAUU
rnacentral:pre_miRNA from 1 species